rnacentral:rRNA from 1 species
CUGCUGCCUCCCGUAGGAGUCUGGUCCGUGUCUCAGUACCAGUGUGGGGGACCUUCCUCUCAGAACCCCUACGCAUCGUCGGUUAGGUGGGCCGUUACCCCGCCUACUGCCUAAUGCGCCGCAUGCCCAUCCCUGUCCGGCCGAAGCCUUUCCUGCCUCCGGGAUGCCCCGGUGGCAUGUACGCGGGUUUAGCCCGCCUUUCGGCGGGUUGUCCCCCUGACAGGGGCAGGUUGCAUACGUGUUACUCACCCGUGCGCCGGUCGCCGGCGGAGAAACG